rnacentral:rRNA from 1 species
AUUGAACGCUGGCGGCAGGCUUAACACAUGCAAGUCGAGCGAGCGGCGGACGGGUGAGUAAUGUAUGGGACACUGCCUGAUGGAGGGGGAUAACUACUGGAAACGGUAGCUAAUACCGCAUACCAUCAGAGGUGCCCAGAUGGGAUUAGCUAGUAGGUUGGGGAAUGGCUCACAGAGGCGACGAUCCCUAGCGUGUCUGAGAGGAUGACCAGCACCACUGGAACUGAGACACGGUCCAGACUCCUACGGUAGGCCGCAGUGGGGAAUAUUGCACAAUGGGCGCAAGCCUGAUGCAGCCAUGCCGCGUGUGUGAAGAAGUCCUUCGGGUUGUAAAGCACUUUCAGCGGGGAGGCGUUACUCGCAGAAGAAGCACCGGCUAACUCCGUGCCAGCAGCCGCGGUAAUUC